rnacentral:rRNA from 1 species
AACGAACGCUGGCGGCAUGCCUAACACAUGCAAGUCGAACGAGAUCUUCGGGUCUAGUGGCGCACGGGUGCGUAACGCGUGGGAAUCUGCCCUUUGGUUCGGAAUAACGGUUGGAAACGACUGCUAAUACCGGAUGAUGACAAAAGUCCAAAGAUUUAUCGCCAGAGGAUGAGCCCGCGUAGGAUUAGCUAGUUGGUGUGGUAAAGGAGCACCAAGGCGACGAUCCUUAGCUGGUCUGAGAGGAUGAUCAGCCACACUGGGACUGAGACACGGCCCAGACUCCUACGGGAGGCAGCAGUGGGGUAUAUUGGACAAUGGGCGAAAGCCUGAUCCAGCAAUGCCGCGUGAGUGAUGAAGGCCUUAGGGUUGUAAAGCUCUUUUACCCGGGAUGAUAAUGACAGUACCGGGAGAAUAAGCUCCGGCUAACUCCGUGCCAGCAGCCGCCGUAA